UGCCUACGGGGGGCAGCAGUGGGGGAUAUUGCACAAUGGGGGGAACCCUGAUGCAGCGACGCCGCGUGGGCGAUGGAGUACUUCGGUAUGUAAAGCCCUAUCCGCAGGGAAGAAAAUGACGGUACCUGACUAAGAAGCCCCGGCUAACUACGUGCCAGCAGCCGCGGUAAUACGUAGGGGGCAAGCGUUAUCCGGAUUUACUGGGUGUAAAGGGAGCGUAGACGGCUGUGCAAGUCUGAAGUGAAAGCCCAGGGCUCAACCCUGGGACUGCUUUGGAAACUGUGGAGCUAGAGUGCUGGAGAGGU
rnacentral:rRNA from 1 species